CCUCCCCUUGUAGCCGUCAUGGCCUAUCCUCACCUCGCCGCCAUAGACCAGCCCUCACCUCCCCUUCUCCCCACCGCCUAGCUUCAGAUCGACUCCUUCCAUCACCUCUCCACAGCAGCUAUGGCCGGGGAGGCUGGAGAUGUUUUGCUCCUCUCACCCCUUUCUAUCAUCCCGUAAUGUGCAAGUGCACCCAGAUCUCUCGCCAGGUCUGGCGGCGUCGUGCAACACUCAUGGGCUACGACUCUAGUACGCUAGCAGUGGUGGCAGGCAAUGGCGAGUGUACUGAUGGUCGAGCGGCAGCGCGGGCUAAUGGGUUCGGCUCUGUUCUCGUUCGCCAUUUACUAUACUGUACUACUCAACAAGUUAAGGUGUCCUGCAAUCCCCAUCUAUUCUAGUUUAAUUGAUUUCUGAUGUCAAAUCUUAGAUAGCUAAGAUGUCAAAAUUGGUACGAUGCACACAACUAUGCUGGAAAUACUACCACAAGGGAUAGUAUUAGUAGCUUCGCUUAAUUUGUACACCUAGUUAUUCAGGAACAAAGUAAGAUGAGGAAAUACGUGCAUAUUUAGAUGAUGCAAAACAUUGCCAUGGUUUGUGCCACACUAGACUAUUUGAAUCUUGGUAAGGUACCAGAAAUAUCUUCCCUGAUAACAGAGGCCUAAUGAACACAGGGUGGAUUCAGACUGAUGAGGCUGUCCAAGAUUGCUCGGAACAAGGCGAAAUUGGUGAAGCACGAAGCCCUUGUCGAUGGCUUCAGUAAAUCCAGUUUCAAAAACAAUAAAAUGAGAAACAUUCAGAUAAGGCUUCGUUGACAAACAUAUUAUACUCUUCUGCAAUUCAGGUUACUACAUUGUGCUUGUUUGUUUGAGCUGUACAGAAAUGAAAUGUUCGACUCGAGCAUCAACACAUAAGCCUUGCUUCAUCCUUUAUGGGUCAGUCUAACUUUCUGUUUCGUAUGCAGUUACUAUGCAUACGUAGGCUCUCGUUUGUGUUGUCCUUGUAAAGUGUUUGAUGAAUUCCUUGCCUGUCAAAAUCAUAUCCUUGGAACCUGAAGGUAGCUUGUGCCCCAUAUCCCUCUUGGCUCUCCAAAUUCAUGGCAGCCACAUCUGUUAUCUUCGAGAAAUCUAGUAUGAUUUCAUCUGCCAUUUUAUUGGCUUUUCCGUUAAUCGGCAGCUGUGUAAAGGUACAACUACAUGUUCAACAAUUAGGAAAAUAGUACCACAAAUAACUGAAUGUUGGGAUGGGUAAAUAGAUUUUGUCUUGCGUGAAUACAUAGAAAUACAUGGAAGUAUAUUUAGAGGUCAAAAAGUACUAGUCUGUAGCUUUGUGGAAAAAGAUGCAAAAUAGUGAACCAGUUUAUUUUUACUGUUUGUGUUUAUAUUUAAGUUUCUAUUGCCCAAUGCAUGGUUUGGAAAGGAAUGAAUUACUGGUGUAACACGAGUAAUUGUCGACGUACACUGAGUUCCUAAGUCCCACAGUAAGACGUGAUUAGCUAUAUAUCUCCAUGCAUAGAUGUUUCUAGAACAAUUACUUUUGUUCUCUGUAGCUUCCCUAAAAAAGUUUAUUCCUUGUAGCUCAAUCAAAUUUCAUUUACAUUGCAUUGUUUUUCAUCUCUUUUACAACUAGUCUUGUCAUUUCUUAGGGAGUGUCAAGCAAUAUUAGAAGCGGUCCGAGCUAUUAAAAUGAUCAUGACACUGAUGAUGAGGAGGAUGACAUCUAUGGCAACGAGGGAGAUGAUAGCUGUGGCGAUAAGCAUUAUGAUAAAGUAAAGAUCUGAAGUUUGUUGAAAAUUUAGCUUAUGCAAAUUGUCUGGACCUCUCUAAUACUAUUUUUUGAUUCGACACUUCCUAGAUGGAUUGUUAUUGUAAAUGUAAUUCAUAUGCAACUCAUUAGGUUUGUAAUACCUAGAUUAUGCUAAAUGUUCUUUUGGUCAUGUGCGGUUGUGUAAUUAUGAGAUGUAUCGGAAAUGCCAAUAUUGUGAAAUAUUGUGUAAUAUAUUGCACUUCCCUCUCA